GUUCUUGUAGUUGAAUCUACAACGGUGGUUUUUCAUAUCAUUGGUCAUGGUUAAAGUCCAUGCAGGAAUU
rnacentral:tRNA from 1 species